rnacentral:rRNA from 1 species
AGGAGAGUUUGAUCCUGGCUCAGGAUGAACGCUGGCGGCGUGCUUAACACAUGCAAGUCGAACGGAGUUUAGUUGAAACCUAGUGAUACUAAACUUAGUGGCGGACGGGUGAGUAACGCGUGGGUAACCUGCCGUAUGCAGGGGGACAACAGUUGGAAACGACUGCUAAUACCGCAUAAGCGCACGGAUUCGCAUGAAUCAGUGUGAAAAGAGAUUCGGCAUACGAUGGACCCGCGUCUGAUUAGCUAGUUGGUGAGGUAACGGCCCACCAAGGCGACGAUCAGUAGCCGGCCUGAGAGGGUGAACGGCCACAUUGGGACUGAGACACGGCCCAAACUCCUACGGGAGGCAGCAGUGGGGAAUAUUGCACAAUGGGGGAAACCCUGAUGCAGCGACGCCGCGUGAGUGAAGAAGUAUUUCGGUAUGUAAAGCUCUAUCAGCAGGAAAGAAAAUGACGGUACCUGACUAAGAAGCCCCGGCUAACUACGUGCCAGCAGCCGCGGUAAUACGUAGGGGGCAAGCGUUAUCCGGAUUUACUGGGUGUAAAGGGAGCGUAGACGGUGAGGCAAGUCUGAAGUGAAAUGCGGGGGCUCAACCCCUGAACUGCUUCGGAAACUGUUUUGCUAGAGUGCAGGAGAGGUAAGUGGAAUUCCUAGUGUAGCGGUGAAAUGCGUAGAUAUUAGGAGGAACACCAGUGGCGAAGGCGGCUUACUGGACUGUAACUGACGUUGAGGCUCGAAAGCGUGGGGAGCAAACAGGAUUAGAUACCCUGGUAGUCCCCU